rnacentral:rRNA from 1 species
CAGAAUGUCGCGGUGAAUACGUUCCCGGGCCUUGUACACACCGCCCGUCACACCAUGGGAGUGGGUUGUACCAGAAGUAGAUAGCUUAACCUUCGGGAGGGCGUUUACCACGGUAUGAUUCAUGACUGGGGUGAAGUCGUAACAAGGUAACCGUAGGGGAACCUGCGGUUGGAUCACCUCCUUA